AGCUCCCUACAUGUCCAGAUCAAGCCUGCACUCUCCCCAGUGCACCCUAUGGCUACCUAAUAGCUCUCCAUGGAAGGUGAGACAGAGAGAAGGGGGAGCUGCUGGGUGGCCAGGGAUGGGCUUGGCAGUUUCUCAUGUGCCUAGAUCAGUCACAGGCUCUGACUUCUAUUUUUGCCAUGUGGGAGGGGGGGAGGUAAAAUGAUGCCCUCCCCCCUGCCCUCCCCCAGGUGACAUGGCCAGAGAAGAGCUGAGCGGAGCCUAUGAGGUGGCAGGGGUGGAUGCAGGCUGCCUGCUGUGGGCUUGGGGCUACCCCCUUGCUGUCCUCCCCCAGAAGCCUGAGCCAGCCAUGCCACAUUGGUGAGGUGCCUCCUGCCCACCCAACAGCAGUAGGGGGCACACCUCUGUGCCACCACCCCCAUCCCCACUCCCGCUGCUGGCAGGUGGGCAGGGGGCACCUCGCCAUGGUGGUUCAAGACUCCCAGGUGGAGGGAAGCAGGUGGGGAACCCCCAAGCCCACAACAGGCAGCCCACAUCUGUCCCCACCCCAUGCACAUAUCUGGGGGGCAUGUGCUGCCUUCCUUGGGAGUGCAUGCAAUGGCAGGGAGAUGAACCCCCCCCCCCCCUUGCCCCCCUGGACAAGCCACCCAUAGUUCUGUUGUGCUCCCCACCCCAGCCUUGGGUCCCAUGCACCACCCUGGCUGGGCAGCACCCCCAGGCCCAGCCCCUGCCCCACUCCCUCCCUCACCAUGGGGGCCUCAAUCUGCACCCCCACAGACUUACCUGCAGGAAGCUGGGGGAGUUGUUCUCCACCACCGUCUGGGAUUGUAUUCCUGGCCUUCAUGUAUGUGUGUGAGUGCAUACAUGCACAUCAUGCCCUCUGCAUCCUGCUUUCCACAGCCCUUUGGACAGAUCAACAGAAACAUGGGUUUCUCAGUCUUCAUUUAGGGAAGGGUGGUCACUCUGGCCUCUUCCCAAGCGGGGCCAGGGCCCUUGGGCCCCCAUGUAUUUUCUGCCUAUGAGAUCAGGACUGCUUGGCCCCUGUCAGCCCCUGUGGCUGACUAGCAGAUCCUUGUUCACCUGCUGCCCCAUCCCCUGGGAGAUUGGGGGGGUGGUAAGCAGGCAGCCAUGCAGCCUGAUGGGGAUGGUGCAGGCCAGAUCUGGGCAUGUGCAGGUGGUACGGACUGCAGAGAGCCCAGGACCAGGUAAGAACCCCAUCCUACUGCCACUGCUACUCUUGGGCUGAUAAGGGAAGUACUGGAUUGAUCCAGAAAGGUGGUGGGGGGGAGGGGAAUGGCUCCUGAAGCCCCUCCCUCUUUCUACCUUCCUCCCAGUCUGUCCUGCAGGGAAAGAGCCAGUGAUCUGGACAGGCACGGAGCAGACUUGGAAGUUCCUAAUUAUGCCCCUACUUGCUAACCCUCUUGCUGAGGGUCAGAGCCGUGCAUGUCAGAUUUUAGGCACAUCCUGUGUUUUUCAUUUCCUAUUAGUCCACUCCACUUAACCUCCAGGCUCUCUACCUCCCACUUUGGAGGUAGCUAAACUCUCCUUAUUGCCUGCCCAGGGAGCCCAGGUGUCUAACCCUCAUUUCUUUGAAUUACCCUCCUAGAGCCAGGCAUCUAAUUUUUUAGCAAGUCAAAGCCUGAGGUAAAGGUACCUAAAGGAAAAAUUGGGAUCUUAACCAAAAUACCACCAAUACCAAGUUAAAUGUCUUACAAAGUGUAAAUAUUCUUUUAGCAAACAAAUCUUAUUUAAUUAAUAAAAAAGCUUGACAAGGUCUUCCUUUCCAUGAGCCCAUGUUGAUUGUCAUUAAUUACAUUUCACCCCUUUACAUCUUCUUUUAGAGUCCUGUAUCAGGCAUUCCAUUGUUUUCCUUGGAUUAAUAUCAGUUUGUUAAACCUAUACUUAUACUUACCAAGGUUAAAAUAUUGGCAAAGUGUUAGCCUCUUCCAGCCUUCUGGAACCUCCUCAGUGUCCUUAGAGUUAUAGAAGAAUCCAGUUCUGUUAAAGCUCUUGAAUUCAAGUUAUCCCAGCCUGCUGAUUUAAAAAUGUAUAGCUUUAGGAAUUGCUGUUUAACAGUUUCCCAAUUUAUUGUUGCAAUGGAAAGUAUUUCCAUUUCAAUUCUGAGGAAGUGAGGCCUCUCUUUCAAACUGUGAAAGGGUUAAUAGAGUGAGCAAACUAGUUACAAAUGGAGAAAAAUCUGAACUGAUUGGGUAUUUGAUUCUGAGGCUGUUGAAUUAAUACCAGAUGCAACCUGUUUUCUUAUUAGAGGAGGAAUCCCAUUGAUGUCCAGGCAGUUCAAAUCCUAUGUGGUCGAUAUGGGUAAUAGAACUGGGCACUUAGCUGUUAGUGGCCUAAAGGUGAAAGCAUACAAUAAAGCAAAUGAAAAAAUACUAGUAGUAUUGUCAGAUAUAAGAAACUAAGAGAUAAUGACACUAAGUGAGUAGCCCAGAAUGGUCUGGGGCCCAUCCCCCAAGCCUCAGCAACCCCCCCUAGUUAUUAGAUACCUCUUCUCAUUUGAGUUCUGGAUUACUGAAAGAGAAUUAGUACGGAAGUAUGAAUUCAAAUUUAUACUCCAGACCUAAUAUUUUUUUGUGGUUUUUUUUUUCAUAGAAAACAACCCCAAGAGUAAUCCUAAUUAUUGUAUUCCACUUUCCUGUAAUUGGAAUAAAUCACUUCUUGUAAAUAAAAUAUGAAUGCACUCAUAAUAAUUGUAUGAAUGUUUGAUUGGAUUUCAACAUCUUUUAUUAAAAACAAAGUAAGACUUGAUUGAAACUAUUAACUGAUUAUAUUAGGCAAAUGUAUCUGAUGUCUACCACUUCAAUUGUGUGUAGCACAAUAAUUGCAAAUAUUUUUACCCAGGGAAAAAAGUAAAUUAUUUGGGGCAAAAUAGGUCCCUGUAAACUUGUGUUAUCAUGGUAUGAUAUGAACAAAACUAGACUUCUAACCCCUUUGCACCAAUUUAAUUCAAAGUUGCCUUAUCCCAGACUAGUAUCUUUCUAAUUGAACUACCUAAAUUCCAUCAUGUUUUGAUUUCCCUUAGCUACCUCCUAAAAGCACCAAAAAACCAACAUUCAGCAACAUUACUGAUCCCCAGUGCCUGUGAACCAUAAUGUUUGCAACACCAGAUGGAGUUGUUAUAUUAGGAGCAAAGGACUAUAUUCAAUAAAGGGCUUAGGCAGCAUAUAUACAUUUAAGUCCAGAACUGCAGUGCAAAAAAACCCCUGCCUUACUGCUGCUAUUCCUGGAGCUUCCUAAAUUCCAUAGGCAGUUUUCACAGGACUGAAGGGCCCCAAUCAGGCUCCAUAAAAUAGGUGCCCCUGUAAGACUAGGGUACCCCCAGUAAGGUAGCUAAUGGAAAACUACCAGCACACUCAGAAGGCAUGUUCAGUUACUAUUUACUUGCUCAGAAUAGUUGCUCCAGAGUGUUGCUAAAUUUAACAUUGCUACACAAACAGAAGAUAUAUGAAUGGUUACAUAAUAGGGCCUGUAGCAGGGCACAGAAGAGGUUUCUGACAGAAUGGAUUUGACUGGUACAUACAUGCCAGACUUUCUAAGGGUUGUAGAGUUUUUGCCAACUUCACUGUUAGCCUAGGGCAGGAGUCAGCAAUCUAUGUCUCGUGGGCUGGAUAUAGCCAAUGAAGCCAUCCAAUCCAGCCCACAGAGGUCUGAUUCAGCAUGGGGGAUCAGUCUCACAGAGCUACGCUGUGCUAUCUAUCUGCUCCACAGUACUUUUCUCCACUACAGAGUCUGCUGCUCCACAGCCUGCUGAUCCCUUGCUAAAAUGAAAUACAAUAAUUGGGAAUUGGACUGAUGACUAUGAAACUUAUGCUUAGCUGGCACCUACUUAUAAAAGUUAAAAUACAAAAUACUAAUGAUAAUUGCAUAGUGCAAGAGGAUGUAAGUUCACGACUAGGCCAUCUGAGAAGAAAUAAUGAGUUUGAUUAACAGGACUUUCCUGUCAAUUACUGCCUGGGACUCUCUCUUGAUUUACACAACUACAAGAAUGCUUUGAAGAUGCUGAGCUGAAGGGCAUAAAAGAGAAAUGAAACAGCUAACAGGACUCACUUCAAGAAUGAGAACUCUCUCCUUGACACGACCUGCUGCUGCAGCCAGCUAUCUCGAGAAGCUGAAAAGAAACAGACCGUCUCUCUGUCACCUGUUUGGUGUCACAUUAUCAUCUUAUAGCUAAUUACUGGACUUUGCUUUGGUUUGGGCUCAUUUAACCUUAAAUACUUGUAGUAAAUAAAGCCUUUCCGUCAUUUAUUGAA